rnacentral:rRNA from 1 species
UACGUAGGGUGCAAGCGUUAAUCGGAAUUACUGGGCGUAAAGCGUGCGCAGGCGGUUUUUGUAAGUCUGUCGUGAAAUCCCCGGGCUCAACCUGGGAAUUGCGAUGGAGACUGCAAGGCUAGAAUCUGGCAGAGGGGGGGUAGAAUUCCACGUGUAGCAGUGAAAUGCGUAGAGAUGUGGAGGAACACCGAUGGUGAAGGCAGCCCCCUGGGUCAAGAUUGACGCUCAUGCA